UACGUAGGGUGCGAGCGUUGUCCGGAAUUAUUGGGCGUAAAGAGCUUGUAGGCGGUUUGUCGCGUCUGCUGUGAAAAUCCGAGGCUCAACCUCGGACUUGCAGUGGUACGGGCAGACUAGAGUGUGGUAGGGGAGACUGGAAUUCCUGGUGUAGCGGUGAAAUGCGCAGAUAUCAGGAGGAACACCGAUGGCGAAGGCAGGUCUCUGGGCCACUACUGACGCUGAGAAGCGAAAGCAUGGGGAGCGAACAGGAUUA
rnacentral:rRNA from 1 species